rnacentral:rRNA from 1 species
CACCAAACAGCUAGCUUAAUAAGC